rnacentral:rRNA from 1 species
UACGAAGGGGGCUAGCGUUGCUCGGAAUCACUGGGCGUAAAGGGUGCGUAGGCGGGUCUUUAAGUCAGAGGUGAAAUCCUGGAGCUCAACUCCAGAACUGCCUUUGAUACUGAGGAUCUCGAGUUCGGGAGAGGUGAGUGGGAACUGCGAGUGUAGAGGUGAAAUUCGUAGAUAUUCGGAAGAACACCAGUGGCGAAGGCGGACUUACUGGACACAUAUUGACGCUGAGGUGCGAAAAGCGUGGGGAGCAAACAGGG